rnacentral:rRNA from 1 species
UACGCUCUACAACCCUUUGUGAACAUACCUAUAACUGUUGCUUCGGCGGGUAGGGUCUCCGUGACCCUCCCGGCCUCCCGCCCCCGGGCGGGUCGGCGCCCGCCGGAGGAUAACCAAACUCUGAUUUAACGACGUUUCUUCUGAGUGGUACAAGCAAAUAAUCAAAACUUUUAACAACGGAUCUCUUGGUUCUGGCAUCGAUGAAGAACGCAGCGAAAUGCGAUAAGUAAUGUGAAUUGCAGAAUUCAGUGAAUCAUCGAAUCUUUGAACGCACAUUGCGCCCGCCAGCAUUCUGGCGGGCAUGCCUGUUCGAGCGUCAUUUCAACCCUCAAGCUCUGCUUGGUGUUGGGGCCCUACAGCUGAUGUAGGCCCUCAAAGGUAGUGGCGGACCCUCCCGGAGCCUCCUUUGCGUAGUAACUUUACGUCUCGCACUGGGAUCCGGAGGGACUCUUGCCGUAAAACCCCCAAUUUUCCAAAGGUUGACCUCG